GCCAGACUCCUACGGGAGGCAGCAGUGGGGAAUAUUGCACAAUGGGGGAAACCCUGAUGCAGCGACGCCGCGUGAGCGAUGAAGUAUUUCGGUAUGUAAAGCUCUAUCAGCAGGGAAGAAGAUGACGGUACCUGACUAAGAAGCCCCGGCUAACUACGUGCCAGCAGCCGCGGUAAUACGUAGGGGGCAAGCGUUAUCCGGAUUUACUGGGUGUAAAGGGAGCGUAGACGGCGAUGCAAGCCAGAUGUGAAAGCCCGGGGCUCAACCCCGGGACUGCAUUUGGAACUGCGUGGCUGGAGUGCAGGAGGGGCAGGCGGAAUUCCUGGUGUAGCGGUGAAAUGCGUAGAUAUCAGGAGGAACACCGGCGGCGAAGGCGGCCUGCUGGACCGUGACUGACGUUGAGGCUCGAGAGCGUGGGGAGCAAACAGGAUUAGAUACCCCUGUA
rnacentral:rRNA from 1 species